rnacentral:rRNA from 1 species
AGAGUUUGAUCCUGGCUCAGAACGAACGCUGGCGGCGUGGAUAAGACAUGCAAGUCGAACGAGAUUUUCUUUGGUAGCAAUACCGAAGAAAGUCUAGUGGCGAACGGGUGCGUAACACGUGGGCAAUCUGCCUUAAAGUGGGGGAUAGCUCGGCGAAAGCCGAAUUAAUACCGCAUGUGAUCAGGGGAGACAUCUUCCCGAAAUCAAAAGUGGCGCAAGCUACUGCUUUUUGAGGAGCCCGCGGCCUAUCAGCUAGUUGGUGAGGUAAUGGCUCACCAAGGCUCUGACGGGUAGCUGGUCUGAGAGGACGACCAGUCACACUGGAACUGAGACACGGUCCAGACACCUACGGGUGGCAGCAGUCGAGAAUUUUUCUCAAUGGGGGAAACCCUGAAGGAGCGACGCCGCGUGGAGGAUGAAGGUCUUCGGGUUGUAAACUCCUGUCAUUUGGGAACAAGUUGGACGCCGUAACUGCGCGUCCAUUGAUAGUACCAGAAGAGGAAGGGACGGCUAACUCUGUGCCAGCAGCCGCGGUA